UACGUAGGGUGCGAGCGUUGUCCGGAAUUAUUGGGCGUAAAGAGCUUGUAGGCGGUUUGUCGCGUCUGCUGUGAAAAUCCGGGGCUCAACCCCGGACUUGCAGUGGGUACGGGCAGACUAGAGUGUGGUAGGGGAGACUGGAAUUCCUGGUGUAGCGGUGAAAUGCGCAGAUAUCAGGAGGAACACCGAUGGCGAAGGCAGGUCUCUGGGCCACUACUGACGCUGAGGCGCGAGAGCCAGGGGAGCAAAACGG
rnacentral:rRNA from 1 species